CAGAGGGUGCAAGCGUUAAAUCGGAAUUACUGGGCGUAAAGCGCGCGUAGGUGGUUUGUUAAGUUGGAUGUGAAAUCCCCGGGCUCAACCUGGGACGUGCAUUCAAAAACUGACUGACUAGAGUAUGGUAGAGGGUGGUGGAAUUUCCUGUGUAGCGGUGAAAUGCGUAGAUAUAGGAAGGAACACCAGUGGCGAAGGCGACCAACCUGGACUAAUACUGACACUGAGGUGCGAAAGACGUGGGGAGCAAACAGGAUU
rnacentral:rRNA from 1 species